rnacentral:tRNA from 1 species
UGCGGAAUAGUGUAAUUGGUUAACACUUUGGGCUCAUAAUCCAAAGAUUAUUGGUUCAAAUCCAAUUUCCGCAC